UGAGUAACCUGCCCUUAAUUCUGGGAUAAGCCUGGGAAACUGGGUCUAAUACCGGAUAUGACUCCUCAUCGCAUGGUGGGGGGUGGAAAGCUUUUUGUGGUUUUGGAUGGGCUCGCGGCCUAUCAGCUUGUUGGUGGGGUGAUGGCCUACCAAGGCGACGACGGGUAGCCGGCCUGAGAGGGCGACCGGCCACACUGGGACUGAGACACGGCCCAGACUCCGUACGGGAGGCAG
rnacentral:rRNA from 1 species